AAGUCAAGAGAGUAUCUGGAACAUAAGGCGCUCAAAAGUUUUGUUAAUCUGGAUAAACUUGAAAAGAGACGCAAAGAAAAUGCAAAGGAAGAUUCCGAUUCGUUGACGGAUGACGAUUCGUCCUCAAAAAUUUCGAAAAGCUCAAA